ensembl:lncRNA
CUGCCGGACCCGCCGCUGCCUCCGCUCCUGCGGGAGGCUCCGGGAAGGCCGGGCGGGCGGUGCCUGCCUGGGCACGGCUGUCCCGCAGGAGUUCGGCGUGGUGUGCUGCAUUGAGAGGGGCCUCAGGAGAGGGAGAAUUAAACGGCUCUGGGCCGGUCAUUUGGUCAGCCGACCGUACUGUCGGGGGAAAGAGAUGGAAGGUACAACAUGGCUUCGCCGGGUGUUGUACUUGAACCAUCGUGUGAGUGAGAUUAACUCGGCGUGAAUCUUAGGAAGGCUUUAAAAUACCAUUUCCUUGAAGGAUAGCUACCAUGCGUUCUCCAUAGGGUGAAGUCAAGGGUUGCCACGGAAUAGCUCAUCUUUCAUGAGCAUUCCUGCAGGUCGUACCUUCACAAUGACACCUAUGUCCAUCAGGGAGGAUGCUUGGCCUCCAGAAAGAAGUGUGGCAAGCCCGAGAGCCACCAGACUCCGAACAGCAGCAGCACUCUGAAACAAGCGUAUGGCAGAAAGCCUCUGUUCAUGCAAUGCAAUAGUCCUGAGGGGAACAUAACAGGGUAUCUCAGGUUUCAAUUACUACUGACUUCAAGUGACUUUUACCUCUCAAGCUUACUACUGACUGAAAAUAUUUUUUUUUCUAAAAAUGAUAAAAUAAACACUUUUGAUAGUGUUCGUUCAUAUUUCAUUCAAACCUCUUAAGUAUCUUUUCUUCAAAUUAUUUAGACUGAAAGAUAUUUCUUGGAAUAGAUCCCAAUUAUGAAGAAAAUUCUUGAAUUUGGAUAAGUUUAAAAAAUUAGGUUUCACCAAAAGGCACUGAACAAAUAACUUUUAUCAUACUAUCCUAUCCCUUUCUCCUGCUUAAUACACAAGUGAGUUCCAGCACAACUAUCUGUGAAAGUGUUUCAUAUGGUUAUAAAUCUCAGUUCACCUGGUCCAAGGUCUGAAUCAUAGAACAUCCAGGGUACUUUCCAUAAGACUAUGAAGAUGAGUAUCAGAUUAGAUGCCUUUUUUGUUUGGUGCAUGAAAAACAAGGACAUUACAGAGAAAGGAAAGAAAAAAAACCCACCUAUAUAUAGUUCACUAUAACAUCAGUGCCUGAAACAUUUUGUACAGUUUUCAGUACAUUAUGACAUCAUGGAAGUCAUUCAAAGAACAGUGGAACUGAUCAAACCUGGUUUCUUAAAAUUUGGAGCUCAUAAUUAGAUUCCUUGGUGUUUAUGAAGAAAAAAACUCCAUCUGAAGCUUUCUCUGUGCUAGGGCAGUAAUACUCCUCUAACACACAGCUUUGUUGAUGUCUAAUGUGAGUGAAAUGUAUAAGCUGCGUUUGUUCAGACACCAAAGAGUGUUAUCUGCUAUCUUCUUUACCUGUGCAUCUGUUCUAAUGAAAUGGCUAGGAGCAUGUAUGAUACUAUUAACCUUCUGUUAAAUUGUUGGAAUUUUCCACUUAGUUCAAAAAAUACUAUGCAGUAACAGAGACACAUGCACCACAUCUGGCCACAUCAGAUAAUUUGCUUAGGAAGCAAAGUUAAAAAGUAGUAAAGAUUCUUCCAGAAACUUUCUGAACAGGGUGAUGAAGGCCUAAUGUAGAUGGAAAGUUCUUGUUAAAUUAUUCAUCAAGGACAAAUAUUCAUAUGUAUAGUACACAUAGAAUAUUAUAUGUACACAUGUAUACAUAUGCAAAAUAUGUAUUAAAUAUAGUUCCAGCAUUUUAGCUGAUGUGAGGUUUUAAUCAGCAGUUAUGGUUAACUGCACUGAAUAAUUGAAAGCAACUGAUUGGUUAAAACAAUGGAAGAUAAUGGUUAAAAAUGGAAAUAACGUGAUUCUUUCUAUCAUAACAAUGUAAAAUUCACAGAAUUAUUUACUGGAUGAACUAGUGGGAAAAGUAAAAGAAUAAACAUCCUCCAUGGCUGAUAUUUACA